rnacentral:pre_miRNA from 1 species
AAUUCAGCUAAAAAAGUCAUGAACAUAAAAGUUGUAGAACUCAUCAAUACAUACAACUUUUAUUUUGGUCAUUUCUUCAUCCGACAAAAUGAUAGUAACAUUGUUCACAAAAUUUACACCUCUCAUUUAGUAAAUUUUGUGAACAAUGUUACUAUCACUUUGUCGGAUGAAGAAAUGACCAAAAUAAAAGUUAUAUAUCUUGAUGAUUUAUACAACUUUGUUGUUGAUGACUUUUUCAGUUGAAAUC